AACAAUGUGGGCAUAUUAUAUAUAUAUUUUUAGAAUGAACUUAAAAAAUAAUAAACUCUAACUCCACUUUUGGCACUAAUUUCUUGAUUGCUAACAUGAUGCAUUUCUGCAAGAAGAGCUCAUUUCACAAUCUUUGAGGACAUUAUGUGUCUAAGACAAACCUGCAGGUGCUGUUGAGAACAGCAGAGCCAGCUGGAGGCUCUGGGAGGAAUUCCAUCUGGAAGAAAACAUGGUGUGUCCAGAGGGCAGAGUGGUGUGGUGGAGUCGGUGCUGGAGAUGAUGUGUGUACAAGAGCAGGACUCUGGACGGAGGCAGGGAUCUGGGCCAGCACAACAUGGAGAGGCUGAAGCUUCCUGGAGUGACCAGCAGGCAGGAGUAAGGGCCAGGUCCCUGAAAUCUAUGGAAGGAGAUUUUACUGGUGUGUCCACCUCCUCCUGGCCAGGCCACAGCUUUCUCAGCAGGGAGAGGAAGACAACGAAUCAGAAUGGGAAGGGAGUUUGCAUUUCUCGAGGACCUCAGGGACACAUCCUCAGGGACACAUGCACAGACUAGUGCUGCUUCUCAAGUUGCUCUGGUUACCGCAAUGGGGUAUCGAUCAGGGACGGCGUGGAGCCGAGGGUUUCAGCCGAGCCUCCGGGAGGCCAGGCUUUGGUCUGAACUGGAAGAGCACAAAGGCCAGCGGUGUCCUGUGGUGCGCGGAGCGCGCGAGGGCCAAGAAAUCCACGCGGGGCAAGCCCAGGAGCUGUGGGACCACCCGGCAGACCACCAGCAGCAGGCAGCUGACGCUCCGUUCACUUCCCAGCUCCCGUCUCCGAUGCUGGGAAUCGGGGAGCUGCUUAGAAUGUUCCCCUUGGAAGCAAGUUAUUCUUCACGAGUGGAAAGCAACCACGUGGCCCUUUAUAACUCACCCGUCGGGGCCCAGGACACCUGGCUGGGCGCCCCUCGCUCUGCUGCACUUGGUUCAGAAUCUGAGAUCUUGCCGAGACAUCGGCUACUUAGGCCCAAAGUUGCAGUUUAAACUUUUUUUAAUGCCUGAAACUCUAAGCAAUUCCUCGAGGGUGAAGGGAGGUUCCGGGAGGUUCGGGGAGGUUGUGGGAUCAGGGGGGUUGAGGGCACGGGGUGCUGUGCCGCUGAGGGGCUUGCACAGGUCCUGUCCCUCGUGCAUGGAAUGGUUCUCCGAUGGCUCGACCGUCAGGCUGCAGAAGGACAUUUCCGAGGCGGCUUUGGGGGGCAGGAGGACCGCGCACCUGGGAUCUCUGCGCUAGCAGGUCGAGCUGGUUCGGAGUGGAAGAGGUCCCUGCUGCAGCGGAGCCCCGGCCAGCCCCGCAAGCAGGACGCCCUGUGCCUCUCUGAAAUGUGGCUCCACGUAGAAGUAGAAGCAAGAUAUUUUCCUGGGGUCACGUGAGGGUGGGGCUUGCGGAGCGGAGCACCUGACCAUGCCUUCAUUUCCUGGAGAUGAGGCCAAUUUAUAAUCUGGAAGGUGGUUUACCAAGUGGCUAAUGAUGUGAGCCUUGUGUGUGUGUGUGUGUGUGUGUGUGUAUGUGUGUAUGUGUGUGUGUUUAAUAACAUUUAUGGAUGGUUGACCCGUCCAUAUAACAUAUAUGGGUCAACCAUCCAUAAAUAUAAUAUCCAUAUAUAUAAUACUUAUAUACAUAAAAUGAGACUUAGAUGAAGUAGCAGGUCCAAGGCUGUGGAACUCGGAGGCACACAGGGUCAGUAUGAGCCCAAGGCCCUCGCCCGUCACAAUCCUGCUGCAUUUCACGUCACUGGGUUGAGAGAUCCCGACAAUCCAUGCCCACAGUGGGUCCCGGGGCUUGUCCUGCUCUGAAGAGGGACACGCUCUCCCCGCUGGUGGCUCUCUGCAUUCUGAGGCUACCCCCCGACGUCUGCUGUAUGUAUGUCCUGUCCUCAGGUGGAAGGACAGUGGGCUUCACAGGCGAGGACGACCGGGGCCCGUCUCCCACCAAGCGUGGGCUCUGCACAACACUUAGGCGUGUCCUCUUAUGUGUAAAUUUUUUUUUUUAUGUGUGUAAAUGUUAUAGUCUCGCUCUUAGGGGACCAUUUGUUUUUCUUUUCUAUUCUAAAUUUUGGUGGAGUGUCCUGCCUCCUCCAUUGGCUGUGUGGUUGGAAAAGGUGGUCCUUACGUUUUCCUUGGAAGUCUGAGUCCGCUCAUCUACGAGCCGUUGUAAGUCCCAUUGUCUAGGGUUUUCGUGUAGAAGGAGAUAAGCACCGCAUUGGGAUGUAGAGAAUCUCAACGUUGUAUUUCUAGCUUUAGAUUGCAUGAAGUAAGCUUCGAGAUUUCCUCUGGCCAGAGGGCAAGCGUGCGGCGGACGCUCCUUCCUCGAGCAGCCCCAGGAGGAGCCGCGGCCCAGGCGCUGCGCCCUCAGACGCAGUUAGCAGGGGAAGGAGCUUCUCGGCUCCGAGGGCUGGUUCUGGAAUGCCUCCCGCCGACAUUUCUGCAUUCCACAUGGGCAGAGGGAACCCUGCAGAACCUGUCAGUCCCCGUCAGGAUUGAAAAGCAAGAAUGUUUUCUCUUAUCUCGGAUUGGAGCCAAGACACGGGAAUCCAGGCCUGCCUGCGGCCUCCCCAGGCCGCCUCCUGCGGGACUGGCCCUCCCCACCGACCACACACCCCCAAGGCCCUGCGAGUUCCUCUGAGGGGUUAGAGCCCCGGAAUGUCAGUGGGAAGGGACCUCAAACACUCCCAGUCAGGUAGACCCCGUUUCCGGAGAAGGCGCGGCCCAGGAGGGGCACAGGCAGGCAGCGGACCCCGACCCAGGGUCCAGUUUUCUCUCCUUCUCGUACCCGGUGCAGUUACUAUUUGCAUUCUGCAGGUUAACAAACAAGCAAGUACCAGUGAGUUGGAGUGACCUGCCCACCGUGAAAGGUGGUCAAUUUUGGGCUUAGAUUCAAUGGAGGCCCCUCCAGUGCACCCCUCACGUGUGCCUUCAAUUGUUCAUUCGUGUGUUUAAGUGAGUAUGCGCUGAGCCCGUCUCGGGGACCGCAAAGCCUGGGGAAUUUCUCCUCCAUCUGCACCCCUCAGUAUAAAGUACUUCGAAAUUUCAUCUAUUUUUCCCUUCUUGCUCUACACCCUCUCCCCUGGAGGGAGGAAGUUUGUGUUCUCCAAUGAAUCGGCUCUCGGGACAGCACAGAAUAAUUUCUAAACCCCUAUCUUCCUGCACGUUCCAGAUUCACAGGGCCCGUGGAGACACAGUGCACCUGCCUCCCUCACCUGGGGUCAGGAUUCAGCUCUAUCUCCUUCAGCUUCUACGGUUAACCCCCCUGAUUCUCAAUCAGAAACAUCCUUUUUUUUAAAGCAUGUUAUUUUAUUUUAUUUUUAUUUUUUAUUGGAGUUCAAUUUGCCAACAUACAGCAUAAGACUCAGUGCUCAUCCUGCCAAGUGCCCCCCUCAGUACGCGUCACCCAGUCACCCCAUCCCCCCGCCCACCUCCCUUACCACCACCCCUUGUUCCUUUCCCAGAGUUAGGAGUCUCCUGUUCUGUCUCCCUCUCUGAUAUUUCCCACUCAUUUUCUCUCCUUUCCCCUUUAUUCCUUUUUACUAUUUUUUAUAUUCUCCCAGUGAAUGAGACCAUAUAAUGUUUGUCCUUCUCUGAUGGACUUAUUUCACUCAGCAUAAUACCCUCCAGUUCCAUCCACGUCGAAGCAAAUGGUGGGUAUUUGUCGUUUCUCAUGGCUGAGGAAUAUCCCAUGCAUACACAGACCACAGCUUCUCUAUCCAUCAUCUGUCGAUGGACACCGAGGCUCCUUCCACAGUUUGGCUAUUGUGGACUCGAUCAGAAACAUCCUCGCCCAGGGGUUACUGCAGCUUCCUGGGUGGGGAGUGGGUCCAUCCGGUCUCUGCGGAGAGGAGGACCCAGCCAGCCCCGACAUCUGAGGCACAUCCCAGCCAGCGGAGGCCUCACGGCCCAGAGCAUCGUUCUCCUUUCUCUCAUCCAGGCCUUGAAAAAUAAUCAGUUUUUCUCUUGUAUUGUGAUUGCACAGAGGGGAGUUCUGAGGGCUGGGAUUGGCGCCUCCCUCCCUGGAGCCUGCCUCUGGGCCUCCCCUGGUGCCCCUGCUUUAACCAGAUGGACGAGAACGCAAUGGACGUUUCUACAGCAGCCUUCCUGAGUUGGCCAGGAGCUGAGGUGACCCACUUGGUCAGAGAGAAAAGGUGGGCCACUGUCACUGUGACUGAGCCUCUGGCCCCACUCAUGGAGAUGGUCCCCUCCAGGUGCCUAUAACCCCGUCGCUGGGCACGCUCCUACCAUGACAGCUGCUUGUUACCCUGCAGGCUCGGGAGGGGCUUGCAGCAUAGGAGGCAUCAAAGUGCCUGCUGGGCAGGAAGGUGGCUGAGGAGAAGAACUUGCUAGAAGGAAGGCAGGGUACCUCAUAUGGACUGGGCUGUCCCAUAGGGGCUCAGAGAGGGCUCUGGGGUGGGCUUGUGGCCCAGGGUGACCCGAGGUGACUAGUUACCUCUCACCUGUGGGCAGGCUGACUCUGACACCCUUUGCUGUGUGCCCCAGACACCCAAUACGCUACGGUCUGGAGCAGCCAGUGGCUCAGGGCUGCCUGGGCUCACCUCUCUGUUAGCCCCAGUGUGGACUUUCCAGCCCAUAAGUGCCAUGCUCCAGGUCCCUCUAGCGAGUUUUUCUUUCUUUCUUUCUUCCUUUCUUUCUUCUUUCUUUCUUUCUUUCUUUCUUUCUUUCUUUCUUUCUUUCUUUCUUUCUUUCUUCUUUCCUUCUUUCUUUUUUUUAGAUUUUAUUUGUUUAUUCAUGACAGAAGCAGAGAGAAAGGCAGAGACACAGGCGGAGGGAGAAGCAGGCUCCCUGCAGGAAGUCCAAUGUGGGACCCCAAUCCCCGAGACCCCAGGGAUCAUGACGAGCCGAAGGCAGACACUGAACCACUGAACCCCCCCAGGUGUCCCUAGCAAGGUAUUUUUAAGUGGAGAAGCUUGGUCCUCCCGAUACAAGAUUCUUGUCUGAGGCAAGGAAAGAGGAAGUGAAGUGUCUGCAAGUCAAUGUUGUCCUCGCAGUUCUUUUGGGAGGCCCCAAGGAAAUCCAGCUCCUGUGCAGGGGAGCCCCAUGCAAUGCCCCCAGAACUGUGGGGGCCGUGGAAAGGCCCAGGAGGAGCAGGUUCUGUGGACACAGAGAGGAAGCCCUCCUUGUUCUCUCUGUUCUGGUCAGCAGGAUCUCAUCUCCUGCUGCCUCUCUAGUCCUUCCUCUUUGAGUCUCUGCACCAUCCUGCUGCCCGUUAGCAGAGGACAGAGUGGACUUGACCCUGGACCCCACACACCAUCCCAGUUAGAUCUCAUGCAGUUUAAUUCUGCUUUGUUCAUCUGUACGAAGGCAGGGCCCGUGUGAGACACGCAGGAGAUGGAGGUGCAGAUGGGUGUGCAGAGCACCAGUGAGGGGGUGCCCAAUGCACGGUGGUCCCCACUCUUGCAGCCCUCCCUUUACUCCCCUCCCCUGAGUCUCAUGGCUAUAUGCCUCAUCUCAUCCCAUAAACCAGGGGUCCUCAGACUAUGGCCCGCAGGCCAAAUCGAGCCACUGCCUGUUUUUGUUAAUAAAGUUUUAUUGGAACACAAACGUUUGCUUAUACCUUGUCUGUGGCUGCUUUCCCGCUACAGUGACAGUGUUGAGUAGUUGGGGCAGAGAUACGCGGCGUUCAAAGCCUAGAAUAGGUGCUAUAUGACCCUUUACAGGAAAAAGGUUACCGACC
rnacentral:lncRNA from 1 species